AUGAACCUCACCGGCUACCUCAUGGUCUACCUCGUCGUCGCCGGCCGGACGACGCGCCCGCCGCUCUGGCUCAUGUGCGCCUACGUCUGCGCUGGAGCCAACUCGCAGUCCUUCGCCGGCACCGGCGCGCUCAUCACCUGCGUCAAGAGCUUUCCAGGGAGCGGCCGCGGGGUCGUGCUGGGCCUGCUCAAGGGCUACGUCGGCCUCAGCGGCGCCAUCCUCACGCAGCUCUACCUCGCCAUCUACGGCGGGGACGACUCCAAGUCCAUCCUUAUGCUCAUCGCAUGGCUCCCCGCAUCCGUCUCCGUCGUCUUCCUCCCCGUCGUUCGCGUCAAGCCGCCGCCGCCUAGACGAAACGAGGAUGGCGCUUUCUUCUGCUUCCUCUACAUUUCCGUCGCCCUCGCCUCCUACAUACUCGUGAUGAUCAUCGUCCAGAAGCAGAGCGGCUUCUCGCACGCUGCCUACGCCGCGUCGGCCACCGCGCUGCUCAUUCUCCUCACCCUUCCCCUGAUUUCAGUGGUGGUGGAGCCUCCGCCGGAGCCCCGGACAUCGACAUGGGUGACCGUGGAGAAGCUAACCGCUGAAGUCGUGCAAGUGGCAGAGCAUCCGCCGCCGUCGUCUUCUUCUUGCCUCGGCUCUGGCUUGAAGCACAUGUUCAACCCGCCGGCGCACGGGGAGGACUACUCCAUCCCUCAGGCGCUGGUGAGCGUGGACAUGCUGGUGCUGUUCCUGGCCACCAUCUGCGGCGUGGGCGGGACGCUGACGGCGAUCGACAACAUAGGGCAGAUCGGGCAGUCGCUGGGGUACCCGGCGCAGAGCGUCAACACCUUGGUCUCCCUCGUCAGCGUCUGGAACUACGCCGGGCGGGUGACGGCCGGGUUCGCGUCCGAGGCCCUGCUGGCGCGGCACGGCGUCCCGCGGCCGCUGGCGCUCACGCUGGUGCUCCUCCUCUCCUGCGCCGGCCACCUACUCAUCGCGCUCGCCGUGCCGCGGUCGCUCUACGCCGCCUCCAUCAUCGUGGGCUUCUGCUUCGGCGCGCAGUGGCCGCUCAUCUACGCCAUCAUCUCCGAGGUGUUCGGGCUGAGGUACUACGCCACGCUCUACAACCUGGGCGCCGCGGCCAGCCCCGUGGGCGCCUACGUGCUCAACGUGUGCGUCGCCGGGCGGCUCUACGACGCGGAGGCGGCGAGGCAGCGCGGGAACGGCGAGAGCAGGACGUGCAUGGGCGUGCGUUGCUUCAGAGAGUCGUUCCUCAUCGUAACGGCCGUCACCGUGGGCAGCGCGCUCGUGUCGCUGCUGCUGGUGUGGAGGACCUGGAGCUUCUACAAGGGAGACAUCUACGCCAAGUUCAGGGAUGCCGUGGCCGUCCAGGAGUCAUCCCACGGUGCUUGCGCGGUUCAGCAGCGGUAA
rnacentral:rRNA from 1 species